AUGACAACCAGCUCAAGCUCAUCUACAACGGCCCUUGUUGGAAGUAAACCCUGGCCUGACCCUUUCACCACCCCGCUUGUCAAUCACAGGACUACUUACAACAGUAGCCAGUAUGGAGUUCUUGAGCAGACAGGCCGGUUUGCCGCUAGCAACAACUUCAAAUUUGCAGCUUCUGAUCUUGGUGGUAAUGUUAUGAGGAGGUUGACUCUGGAUUACGAUGGCAAUCUCAGGCUGUACAGCCUGAACGCGACCACCGGCGGCUGGUCGGUCUCUUGGAUGGUGUUCCGCGGAGUCUGCAACAUUCAUGGACUCUGCGGCAAAAACAGCCUCUGCAAGUACAUACCCAAGCUCCAGUGCUCUUGCCUCGGAGGCUUUGAGGUGGUCGAUGCAAGCGACUGGAGCAAAGGGUGCAGGCGCAAGGCAAACCUCAGGGCCACCCAGGAUUUCUCAUUCAGAAAGGUCGCGGGAGCAGAUUUCAUCGGGUAUGACUUGCUCUACUGGGAGCGGGUGACAAUUCGUAACUGCAAAGAUUUGUGCUUGGACAAUGCUAAUUGCCAAGCCUUUGGUUACCGGCAGGGAGAAGGCAAAUGUUUCAGAAAGGUCUAUCUUUUUAACGGCAAGAACUUUCCAAACCCUCACACUGACAUUUAUCUUAAAGUUCCCGGGGGAGUGUUGUCUUCGUCAGAAUUGGCUUCUACGGUAACCCAUGCAUGCAAAGUUCAUCAAAAGGAGGCCAACACUUCAUCGCUAAUGUUCCAGGAUGGCUCUUCUAACUUCAAGUUUGGCUACUUCCUUUCUUCUGCAUUGACACUGCUUUUCAUUGAAGUUAUAUUAAUCAUCGCCGGGUGUUGGGUUGUUCACAAAUGGGAGGGAAGACCAGAGAUUAUAGAUGAAGGUUACACGAUAAUUUCCAGCCAGUUCCGAAUAUUUAGCUACAGGGAGUUACAGAAGGCAACCAAUUGCUUCCAAGAAGAGCUAGGAAGUGGUGGAUCAGGAGCAGUUUACAAGGGAGUUCUCGAUGAUGAAAGGAAGGUCGCAGUGAAGAAGCUAAACGAUGUGAUCCAAGGAGAGCAGGAGUUCAGGUCUGAAAUAAGUGUCAUAGGCAGAAUUUAUCCUAUGAAUCUCGUCAGAAUUUGGGGGUUUUGUGUUGAGAAUGGUUCCUUGGCCACAGUUCUUUUUGAUUACCAGAGCAAUUCUCCUGUGCUCCGAUGGGGCCAAAGGUACAAUAUUGCACUUGGGGUGGCAAAAGGACUGGCCUAUCUCCAUCAUGAGUGUCUUGAAUGGAUUGUGCACUGCGAUGUCAAGCCAGAGAACAUAUUGUUAGAUAGAGAGUUUCAGCCCAAGAUUGCAGAUUUUGGACUGAUGAAGCUACAACAGCGAGGGUCAAGCGCACAAAUGUUGUCAAAAGUGCAUGGGACUAGAGGCUACAUUGCACCAGAAUGGGCUCUAAAUCUUCCGAUCAAUGGUAAGGCCGAUGUUUACAGCUACGGCGUGAUGCUUCUUGAGUUAGUGAAGGGGGUUCCUCUUUCCAGAUGGGUGGUUGAGGGCGAGGAGGAGGUUGAAAUGGCUGGCAUAUGCUCUAUUGAAAUCCUUAAAGAAAAACUAGCAGACGAAGACCAAUCAUGGCUUCUGGAGUUUGUCGACCACAGACUGGACGGAGAAUUCAACCAUUCAGAAGCGAUAGUAAUGCUAAAGAUAGCAAUAUCAUGUGUGCAAGAGGAGAGGAGCAGAAGACCGAGCAUGAGCCAUGUGGUCGAAACUCUGCUUUCACUUAUGGAAUAA
rnacentral:rRNA from 1 species